GACACUUUGGCCGAGUGGUUAAGGCGCAGGCCUGCUAUUACAUUCCUGUAUCAGUUAAUUAGCCUGUGGGUUCGCCCUCCUGGGUUCGAAUCCCAGAGGUGUCG
rnacentral:tRNA from 1 species